rnacentral:rRNA from 1 species
GACGAACGCUGGCGGCGUGCUUAACACAUGCAAGUCGAACGGAAAGGCCCAGCUUGCUGGGUGCUCGAGUGGCGAAAGGGUGAGAAACACGUGGGUGAUAUGCGCCUAAGUUUGGGGUAAGCUUGGGAAAAUGGGUGUAUUACCGGAUAGGACAGUCGUUGAGUGCUGGUGGUGGUAAGUUGUUUCGGUUGGGGAUGGGCCGGCGGCCGAUCAGCUGGUUGGUGGGGUAGUGGCUUACAAAGGCGUGGAGGGGUAGCCGGCCUGAGAGGGGGGCCGGCCACAUUGGACCUGAGAGACGGCCCAGACACCAACGGGGGCCAGCGGGGGGAAAUAUGGCACAUUGGGCGCAGGCCGAACGAACCGCCGCCGGGUGGGGAAGGACGGCUUUCGGGUUGUAACCCUCUUCGACAGUGACGAAGCGUUGGUGACGGUACCGGUAUAAGAAGCACCGGCUAACUACGUG